GCUGGCGGCGUGCUUAACACAUGCAAGUCGAACGAUGAAGCUGGAGCUUGCUCCGGUGGAUUAGUGGCGAACGGGUGAGUAACACGUGAGAAAUCUGCCCCUGACUCUGGGAUAACUGCGGGAAACUGUAGCUAAUACCGGAUACUUUCCCUGGUGGGCAUCCACUGGGGAAGAAAGAAUUUCGGUCAGGGAGGAUCUCGCGGCCUAUCAGCUAGUUGGUGAGGUAACGGCUCACCAAGGCGACGACGGGUAACCGGCCUGAGAGGGUGACCGGUCACACUGGGACUGAGACACGGCCCAGACUCCUACGGGAGGCAGCAGUGGGGAAUAUUGCACAAUGGGCGCAAGCCUGAUGCAGCAACGCCGCGUGAGGGAUGAAGGCCUUCGGGUUGUAAACCUCUUUUAGCAGGGAAGAAGCGAAAGUGACGGUACCUGCAGAAAAAGCACCGGCUAACUACGUGCCAGCAGCCGCGGCAAUACGUAGGGUGCAAGCGUUGUCCGGAAUUAUUGGGCGUAAAGAGCUCGUAGGCGGUUUGUCACGUCUGCUGUGAAAAUCCAAGGCUCAACCUUGGACUUGCAGUGGGUACGGGCAGGCUAAAGUGCGGUAGGGGAGAUGGGAAUUCCUG
rnacentral:rRNA from 1 species